rnacentral:tRNA from 1 species
GCCCACGUAGCUCAGACGGUAGAGCACAUUCUUGGUAAGAAUGAGGUCAGCGGUUCAAGUCCGCUCGUGGGCU